rnacentral:rRNA from 1 species
AUGGCGAUAGCCUGCAAGUGCAGCCCCGCGGUGAGGCUGCUGCCGAACCCGAUCACGGCACAGCUCCCGGGCGGCAGGAGCCACGGAAGAUGCAGAUGCAGAAGCCUUGCCGUUCACGCGCAGCUCCCGACCGAGGAUGAGUACCCCGCUGAGUCACCGAAAAGGGUCCAGGUUACACAGGCUUCGAUCCAGAGCCUCAGGAGGAGCCGCCGGAGGGGACCCGGCGCGCGGCAGAGCCUGAUCUCCGUCGGGACGUCGCGCGGCGGAGGGGAUGAGUGGAGCAGCGACUUCGAGCUGACGCUCCGGCAGCUGAGGCUGGACGACCUGAUCGAGGACGGGCAGGGCGACGCCGACGUCCUGGUGCACCUUCUGGUCCAGCAGCACACCCAGUUCGGAAUGUCGAUCAAAGGGCGAGUGGUCACAUCGCUCACCAAAAUAUGCGAUUCCUGCUCCGCCCCAUACUGCACAAAGAUUGAUGAGCAAUUCGACAUCACGGUGCUGUCUUCCUCCAGGAAGGAUCAGAGCGGGUUGCCUGAAAUCGGAGACAGCGAUCCGUCAGUCAUCUACGUGAAGCCAGGAACAGAAAUUGAUAUCGACUCGUCAAUCCAGGAGACAAUACGACUAACAGCGUCAGCCAAGAGUUCAUGUUCGGAGGCGUGUGAGAAGUCUCCUGUCGUGUGGAAACGUGCUGGUAACCAGAAGAAGCGGUACAGCCAAACGUGGUCAAAACUUCUUGAUCUCAAGAGAAGUCUGGAUAAGGCGCCCAGCUAA